GACGAACGCUGGCGGCGUGCUUAACACAUGCAAGUCGAACGGAAAGGCCCUGCUUUUGUGGGGUGCUCGAGUGGCGAACGGGUGAGUAACACGUGAGUAACCUGCCCUUGACUUUGGGAUAACUUCAGGAAACUGGGGCUAAUACCGGAUAGGAGCUCCUGCUGCAUGGUGGGGGUUGGAAAGUUUCGGCGGUUGGGGAUGGACUCGCGGCUUAUCAGCUUGUUGGUGGGGUAGUGGCUUACCAAGGCUUUGACGGGUAGCCGGCCUGAGAGGGUGACCGGCCCCAUUGGGACUGGGAUACGGCCCAGACUCCUACGGGAGGCAGCAGUGGGGAAUAUUGCACAAUGGGCGGAAGCCUGAUGCAGCAACGCCGCGUGCGGGAUGACGGCCUUCGGGUUGUAAACCGCUUUCGCCUGUGACGAAGCGUGAGUGACGGUAAUGGGUAAAGAAGCACCGGCUAACUACGUG
rnacentral:rRNA from 1 species